CACCCCCGGGUGCGAGCCGAUCGCCAUGUUUCAAGGGCAGCGGGGUUGGUUCUGUGGCAGCGUCGGCCGAGAACUGAGGCAGUUCUGGGUGGCCGAAGGGGGCUCCAUCAGUGACCCAAGGGACGCCGACUUCUUGUUCAGCUGUGAUGCCUCCCACCCAGACACGCUGAGAAUAUAUCAGAGCCUUGAUUACAUAGAAGAUAAUGCUACAGUUUUUCACGCCUACUAUCUCUCUGCAGUAGCUAAUGCUGAAAUGAAAAACUCGGUGGCUUUAGGUCAUUUCAUUCUUCCUCCUGCAUGCUUGCAAGAAGAAAUAAGAAGAAAAGUUGGUAGUUUUAUUUGGGAGCAAGACCAACAUAUUCAGAGAGAGAAGCAUGAUGAAGUAAUACCAAAUGAAAUAAAAGCCCUUAGGGAAAGCAGUGAACUAGCAACAGAUCAAGAAAAAGAAUUAACCAAAAGCACAGAAAAGCAUUUUAUAAGGACUCCAGUUACAGAAAAGCAGAUGUACUUCCCUCUUCAGAAUUAUCCUGUGAACAACAUGGUAACAGGUUAUAUAUCAAUUGAUGCCAUGAAGAAAUUCCUUGGGGAGCUACGUGACUUUAUUCCUGGAAGCUCAGGAUAUUUGGCAUACCAUGUUCAAAAUGAAAUUAACAUGUCUGCUAUAAAAAACAAAUUGAAGAGAAAAUGUUAAGUUAAAUUUUCUUUAUAUCUAGGCAUUUAUUUUUUCUGAAAUUUUACCAAAGAUGUGCAUAAUUUUACAUUCUCCCCUUUGGGAGAGGGGAACGGGGAAAUGGGAGAAUUCUGUUUCUUUCUCAAAAUGUGUCUUCCGGAAUUUCAGAGUCAUUCUUGCUCCAUGAUUUGACAUUUGAGCUGGAUUUUUUCCCCCAGCUUGUAAUGUUAUGUCCACAAAUCCUGAGUAUGCAGUUGUUAUGGAGUAAUUGUCUUUAAAACACUUCAUAAGAAGUCUCAGUCCGUCAGAUGGUCUUUUGGCUUUAACAUUCUAUUAAUUAUUGUUUUUCUAGGUUCAGCGCUGUGAGUACUAAGUUUAAUGAUUCUGGUCAUCUUAUUUUGAUUUUAAAAAAUUAAAAUGUUAUGGUUGAGUUCUAAAUCAUUGUUUCUAUCUUGAGAAAUAUGGAGAAAAACGUUUUAAUGAUGCAGACUUCAUGUGUGGACAGUUCCUGAUAACAUAUACCAGAAGUGAUUUAAUGUAUACAAUACUGUAUCAUCUGAAAUAGGCCCUCACGUCACCUUAGAAUCACAGUGCUGGAAAGAACCUUAGAGAACAAUGAGGAAGAAGGCCUUGAAAGUGUGUCCUGCCUAGAGUGACUAACUAGGGGCCAAAUAAGGACUAGAACAUGACUGUUUCAAAUGUAACUGACAGCAGAUCUGCAAAGCCAAAACCAGCCAACAUGUUGGCUUAUUUUUUAAAUAAUGAUUUCAAGACAGCAACUUCUUAUCUUUAUAUAUAUGGUCAUACUAUAUAGAAUCUGGUGGAUUUAUUACUUUAUAUAUAUGAUAUAUUUUUUGUGAGGCUAUCAUCUUUUUAAAACUGUACUUUCUCCUAGGAAGUGCAUACCAGCUGCAGAAUUAUCUAAAGAAAAUGCACUUUUUAAAAUGGUGGGAGGGGUGCCU